rnacentral:rRNA from 1 species
UACGUAGGGCGCAAGCGUUGUCCGGAAUUAUUGGGCGUAAAGAGCGUGUAGGCGGCCACACAGGUCAGCUGUGAAAACUCGAGGCUCAACCUCGAGACGUCGGUUGAAACCGUAUGGCUAGAGUCCGGAAGAGGAGAGUGGAAUUCCCGGUGUAGCGGUGAAAUGCGCAGAUAUCGGGAAGAACACCCGUGGCGAAGGCGGCUCUCUGGGACGGUACUGACGCUGAGACGCGAAAGCGUGGGGAGCGAACAGG